rnacentral:rRNA from 1 species
UACGUAGGUGGCAAGCGUUGUCCGGAAUUAUUGGGCGUAAAGCGCGCGCAGGCGGUCCUUUAAGUCUGAUGUGAAAGCCCACGGCUCAACCGUGGAGGGUCAUUGGAAACUGGGGGACUUGAGUGCAGAAGAGGAAAGCGGAAUUCCACGUGUAGCGGUGAAAUGCGUAGAUAUCUGGAGGAACACCGGUGGCGAAGGCGGCAUCCUGGACCAUGACUGACACUGAAAAGCGAAAGCCAGGGGAGCAAACGGG